UUUUUUAAUGAUACUAUAAACGAACCGAUGCGAGCUUCCAUCCCGUAGAGAGAGAGAGAGAAAAGGACACAGAGGAAGUCGUAAGCUUAGCCGGAGGACGGAACCCGACCGGCAUGUCGGCGCCAGCGAAACAACGACAGGUCUCGCUGAGGGGUGCUAGCGCUAAGGAGAUCUCACGGGAUGCUCUUCUCGAGAAGCUUGCCCAUGAUAGAGAGCUCCGCAGCUACCAGCGCCGUGCCUCGGCCGCCGCCCUCUUCAUCCAGAGAGUAUGGAGGAGGUAUAUUGUCAUCAAAAAGGUCUCAGAACAACUUCGAGAAGAAUGGGAAGCAUUAGCUGAUUGCUAUGAGGAUCACAUGAGCGGUGCAUGGAUCUCAAAUAAUUUAUUAAGGCCAUUUCUUUUCUUUGUUACUCACUCACCAAUUUUGUGGAGGUGUCAAAUUAGAAAUGUGAAAUGUAUCACAAAAUGUUUUGGAAUUCUCUUACAAAGUAUUAGCUCAACUGAUACACAAAAAAACUUUUGCUUAUUAACAGUGGGUACGCCUCAGGAGAAAUCUGCAUGGCUACACCAAACACAACGAUUAGUUUCAUUGUGUUUAUUUAUCCUUGCCGACUGUUCUAACUCUAGUCAUCCGGAUGAGAUGGUUACAGUUGCUGCUCUAUCAAUGCGGUUACUUGUUUCUUUGACUGAUGUAAAAGGGUGGAAGAAUUUUAGAACCAGAGAUAUCAAUGAUGCAGAUCUUGCUGUGAAGAGAUUAAUUAGAUAUAUGACAACAAAUACUAAUGGCAUAUAUAGCUGUUUUAGGAAGUACAUUUUAAGAAAUGCUCCACAAUCUUCAUCCUGGAGGAACACAGUCUCAUCAUUGGAAAAUAAUCUUCUGAUCACUGCUAGCGCCAUAACAUUAUGUCUGCGCCCAUUUCAUUCGAUGAUGUUAAAUGAUAGGGAUACUGGUAGGAUUGAUGUGUAUGAAGCAUCUAAAAAGUACUGUAUUUAUGUAAUGACAGUGCCAUAUCUGACUAGAUACCUACCAAGUAUUCUGUUACCUGCUCUUAAGCAUGAGCAUGUACUACUACCAUGUUUCUCUGUCUUACUGACUUCCGAAGAUAAACUUUUUGAUGAAAUGCUGAUGUUGGACCAGUCCGAUUUUGCUACAAAAGAAAUUCCUCCUUUGGGCUGGGCUCUUGCAAACAUCGUAAAUUUGGCAAUUGAGGAUGACGAUUCUGGUUCUUAUGGCUGCUUUAUCCAAGGCUUAGAUUGUAAACUUUAUACUCAUGCUGUUAAUAGAAUUUUGGAGAAGUUUGUUCCCUGGCUGGAGAGUAACCAACACUCAUUGAAAUGGGAUGUCGAUGAGAUGCUCAUGACAAGUGAUUGUAUUCCCAUAUCUGCGAAUUCCGAUAAAUGUUCUGAUAUUAUGUUCUAUUUUGAUCUUCUUAAACCUGUGCAUCAGCAGUGGCAUCUGAGGAAGCUUCUCUCCUUGGCAAAAGAUUCAUAUGGAGCACCCAAUGGUCAUCUCAUAAAGCAGACCUCAGACAAUCAAGGAAGUUUCAAGCUACAAGAUGUCAUAUACUUCUACUAUUAUUUUCUUCGGAUAUUUUCUAUUUUAAAUCCAGCUAAUGGCGCAUUAUCUAUUCUUAAUGUACUUUCUUUUACCCCUGGAUUCAUUGCGGAAUUUUGGGAAGCAUUUGAAUGUGCCAUCUUUGGUGCAACUGUUCACAUGUCUCAUGCAGUCAAACAGAACAAAGAGACCAUUUUGGAUCAGACUGAAGCAAACUCUGUUACAAGGCAAAGCCGAAGCAUGAAGGAGAGUGGACAUAGAUGGGCUACUGUGAUACAAAAGAUUUCUAGAAGGUCAAAUGAUGAGUCAACUGCCAGUCCUAGGGACAUUCCUCAAAUUCCUGUUGAAAGUGCUGCGGAUAGUUAUGACUCGUGGGAUAUUGAAGCUAUGAAACAUGGUGCCCAAGGCAUUUCCAAGUAUUUGUCAUGUGCUUUGUUUCUCUUCUGUUCUACUUAUGCACACUAUUUGUUGGUUUUAGAUGAUAUAGAGUUCUAUGAAAAGCAGGUACCUUUCACACUUCAGCAGCAACGAAAAAUUGCGGCUUCACUUAAUACAUUUGUAUACAAUUCUUUGGUUCAUUGUGCAAAUAAUUACAGAUCCGUAAUAGACAUAGCAGUCAAAUGCCUUAAUUUGUUGUAUGAAAGGGACUGCAGGCACAAGUUUUGUCCCUCUUGUCUAUGGUUAGCUCCUGCUAGAAAAGGUUGGAUUCCAGUUGCAGCAGCUGCUAGAGCUCAUGAAGCUGCAUUUUCAAAUCUGCAAGCUGUAGAUGUUUCCACCAUUCCAGCAGUGAGCUCUAUUCUAACAACUGUACCACAUCUGUAUCCUUUUGAGGAAAGAGUUCAAAUGUUUAGGGAACUUAUUAAGCUCGACAAGGUUUCCAGAAGAAUGACCGGUGAAGUAUCUGAGCCAGGGUCUAGUUCAAUUGGUAUAGUUGUUCGUCGAGAUCAUAUAAUUGAAGAUGGAUACAAGCAAUUGAAUUUUCUUGGGCCAAAGUUGAAGUCAUGCAUUAAUGUGUCAUUUAUUAGUGAAAGUGGUCUUCCUGAGGCUGGUCUUGACUAUGGUGGUUUAUCAAAAGAGUUUUUAACUGAUUUAUCCAAGGCUGCUUUUGAUCCAGAGUUCAAUCUAUUUUCACAGACAUCAACUGCAGAUAGCACUUUAAUUCCUAGUAUGGCUGCAAGAUUGUUAGAGAAUGGCAUGGAGUUGAUUGAAUUCCUUGGAAGGGUUGUUGGGAAAGCUCUUUAUGAAGGCAUUUUAUUAGAAUAUAGCUUUUCACUGGUAUUUGUGCAGAAGCUCUUAGGACGUUAUAGUUUUCUUGAUGAACUCUCAACACUAGAUUCUGAGCUAUAUAGGAAUCUCAUGUAUGUGAAGCAUUAUGAAGGUGAUGUCACCGAUCUAUCUUUAGAUUUCAGUGUUACUGAAGAGAUAUGUGGGAAAAUGAUUGUCACAGAGCUUAAACCUGGUGGUAGGAAUAUCUCUGUAAGAAAUGAGAACAAGUUACACUAUGUUCAUGCAAUGGCUGACUACAAACUGAAUCGCCAAAUACUUCCAUUUUCUAAUGCAUUUUAUAGAGGCAUGAUUGAUCUGAUCUCCCCAUCUUGGUUAUGCUUAUUUAAUGCGAAUGAAUUUAACCAGCUGCUUUCAGGUGGUAAAAAUGACUUUGAUGUCGAUGAUCUUCGAAGCAAUACAAAGUACUCCGGUGGUUAUUCUGAAACAAGUAGAACUGUUAAGCUCUUCUGGGAGGUUGUGAAAGGAUUCAAAUCAGAUGAGAGAUGUAUGCUACUGAAGUUUGUGACAAGCUGUUCUCGUGCUCCAUUACUUGGAUUCAAACACCUACAGCCUACCUUUACAAUUCACAAGGUUGCCUGUGAUAUACCUCUAUGGGCUACACUAGGCGGACAAGAUGUAGAACGACUUCCCUCCGCUUCCACCUGCUACAAUACACUAAAGCUUCCAACAUAUAAACGGUCAAGUACUUUAAGGAACAAGCUACUUUAUGCCAUCAGUUCAAACACCGGAUUUGAACUUUCUUGAGUGUACAUUUUCCAUUUUCUGUUGCUUCUGUAUCAUUCUGCAACACCUAUUCUGCGAGUGAAAUAUGUACAUAGCAAUAUUGUAUUCUGACAAGUUUUUCAUUCACCAUACAAUAUUGAUGGAACCUGGUUGUUAUACUUGGGACGAACCACAUCAGAAGAAUCUUGGACAUCUAUUUGGAUUUGCUAUCAUUACAUAUAUUGGUUCUUGGACAUGUACUCGGAUCUGACUCAUCGACAAACAUGAGUUGAUGCCCUUGGCCAACAUCAUUCAAAAGGAAAAAAUGGCUAGGAUAGUUUGGCAGAGCUAUCUCCAAUCAGGAACCUUCACCUUAUGGAUGAUUGACAUACCGAAAGCUUCCUACUUGAGAUAGGCCGGAUUACCUUGAGGAUUGAUGAUCCACCUUUUGUAGACGUUGGAGCAUGUUCUUUAGAUGUGUGCCGACCAACCAAUUAUGAAGGACUAGAUGGUGUGAUAGGAGAUGCCCACUCACCGAUGAAUGGUGCGAUACAUCUGACACCUGUACCGGGGGACUACCAGCUUGAUGCGAGUUUGUCACUUAUUCAUCUUGGUUGACGGACAAGGAAUUGUAGUAUCUUUGAGAGUGUACACUUUGCUAACUUGGUGGUAUUCAAGAAGCUACAAAUAUAUGAUGCUUCAUCAUACUUGAAUAGCUAUCCUCGGGCAACAUUUUCGCUUUUGAUUGCAUGUAUACAUUUUACCUUUCCAUAAAAAAGCAAAACUAUUGGAAUUACAUCU